rnacentral:lncRNA from 1 species
AACAACAAACCCAGUGUAUUCCCACCUAGUGGGGUCUGGGGGGGGUAAGAUGUACGCAGUCCAUACCUCUACCUCUGAUGAAGUAAAAAGGCUGUUUCCGAAAGACCCCCAGCUCAAGGCACGAGAUACCACACAAACACAUAGUAAAGCACAGAAGCAGGUUACAUAACAUAAAUACGGCACCCAUAAGUAAUAUAAAACAGAG